rnacentral:rRNA from 2 species
GCAUAUCAAUAAGCGGAGGAAAAGAAACUAACAAGGAUCCCCUUAGUAACGGCGAGUGAAGCGGGGUGAGCUCAAAUUUAAAAUCUGGCUGGUUUACUAGUCCGAAUUGUAGUUUAAAGAAGCGUUUUCGGUGGCAGCCUGGGUAUAAAUCCUUUGGAAUAGGGUAUCAUAGAGGGUGAGAAUCCCGUCUUUGACUCAGUGCAUGCUACUAUGUGAUACGUUUUCAAAGAGUCGAGUUGUUUGGGAAUGCAGCUCAAAAUGGGUGGUAAAUUUCAUCUAAGGCUAAAUAUUGGCGAGAGACCGAUAGCGAACAAGUACCGUGAGGGAAAGAUGAAAAGAACUUUGAAAAGAGAGUUAAACAGUGCGUGAAAUUGUUGAAAGGGAAACGUUUGACACCAGUCAUGCGGGUGGGAAAUCAGUCUUUUGCAGUGGGGAGUGGUGAAGGUUCGGACCGCAAGGCCGGCCUGUGCCUCAUCUCUGCUGUAAGUGAUGCACUUUUCCAUCGGCAGGUCAACAUCAGUUUCUUCUGCUGGACAAAACUCCGAGAGAAGGUAGCAGCUUAGGCUGUGUUAUAGCUCUGGAGCGAUACAGUGGUGGGGACUGAGGUUUUCGCAGUGUGUGCUUUCGGGCAAGGCUGACCGGGUGCUAUGGGAUCGUUCAGUGUACAAUGCAUGCAUUUUGCGCUGUGUCUUUUCUAUACUCGCCUGGCUUGGCUCUCCACACUAGGAUG